UACGUAGGGGGCAAGCGUUGUCCGGAUUUAUUGGGCGUAAAGAGCGUGUAGGCGGUUUGGUAGGUCCGCUGUGAAAACUCGAGGCUCAACCUCGAGACGCCGGUGGAAACCAUCAGGCUAGAGUCCGGAAGAGGAGAGUGGAAUUCCUGGUGUAGCGGUGAAAUGCGUAGACAUCUGGAGGAACACCGGUGGCGAAGGCGGCAUCCUGGACCGAUACUGACGCUGAGGAGCGAAAGCCAGGGGAGCAAACGGG
rnacentral:rRNA from 1 species